GGAGUAUUGUUUCCGCUGCCUGG
rnacentral:miRNA from 1 species